CCGCCGCCGCCGCCGCCACUGGCGUCUCAUUCGUUCUUUUUCUCGUCCAUGAAGUUGAAGAGCUGUGCAGGUGCUACUUGAGUCAGGAAGGGCCUCCAGUGAACAUCGGCCAGAAACUGCACCAUUUGUUGGCAAGUUUUGAAAGUGCCACUUGAAACAAAGUUCUAGAAUCGAGGCUCAGCUGAAGACACCCAAAGGACGACUUUAAUGCAACGGGCCUGAGCAGUUGCUGCCAGGGGAACUAAUCGUAAGAGCAGCCAUGGUGGAUUGGGCCCGUGGUCCAUCUAGUCCAGCAUUCAAUUCACACAGUGGUCAACCAGCUGCCCACAGGAUCCCACAAGCAGGUUAUAAGUGCAACAGCAGCUUCCUGUCCUAUGUCCAACCAAAUCAUGUGGAAAUGCAUUGGCUGGCAUUAGCACAUUACAUCGUUGUUUCUGUGAGUCCCAGAAUCUAGACUACAUUAAAGGAAGCUAACACAGAGAUAGAGAUUUCAACCAGGAACUCUUUUCAUAGGAUCCCAGAGACGAUUGAUUCUUGCAUUAGAUAAAAAUUCACGGGACAAACUGGAAGUUUACCUAGUAACUUUAGGUUCACUACAUUCCUGUGCUUUUCCAGUGUACUAGAGUUACUCCACAGUUCUACAGGUAAGAUGUUAGGAACCAAGAGUUUGACUUCUCACAGAAUCCAAGAAUAAUCCAUCUAGUUCAGUACUGGAGUGUACCUCACAAGUAUGGCAUGAAGGAAAACACCAUUCCUUGAUGUAGGGCAGCUGCACAAUUCAGGUGGAAGUUGGAAGCAAAAGAAGUUUACAACGCACCUACAAGGCUGCCACUCCUAUACACUCUUAUGGAAUGGGGAAAUCCUGGCAAUGAGAGCAAUCAUGAGUAAAAUUCCAUAGUUGCAUCUUCAUAGAGAUCUAUAGAAUGUGGGAUAUUUUGCAGGCAUUUUUUGGAACUUUCAUCACAAAUUGCAAGAUGGAAUGGGAUGCUGCUCUACUAUUAUUUCUGAGCAAGCAUCACUCCACUUUUUUUUCUUCCCAUGAGUACUGCUCAUAAGUAAAAUUACAUCAAUGAUUUUUACCUACUCCAUUCGAAUGUGUGAGUGGGUUCCAUGCAGGUAGUUUACAAACCUCUUUGCCCAUACAACUUGCAUCUGUAAUAUGCAACUGCUAACUAAAAGUGAACUUUUGGGCUAUGUUCUUGACAAAUUACAUCCAAAUUAGAGGGUUGAUUGAGCUAUGACUAAUUGUAGCCAAUUGACAAAUUCAUGGAAGAUGUAGGCUGAACAUAACUAAAAAUCACUUUUCAAAUACAACAAAAAACAGAGCUCAAUGGUAGGUGAAACUUGCAAACAUAUGAACAUUUACCUGACAGUCCUUCUGAAUUCAGUGGGACUUGAAAUAAACAUGUAUAGGCUGUAAAAA